UUAAGAGGUCUGUUUUCUAAAUUCCACAGAUUGAUUAACCUUUAUUUUUUUCAUUUGAUUAUGAUAAUUUCCAAAGUAUGAGGUAGGCACAAGGGUGUCAUAUUAUCAUUGUUUACUCUAUGGAUUAAGAAUAUAUUUCAGUGAUUUCUAGAACUACUUCUCACUCUAACCCACUUGCCUGAAAGCAGCUUUAAAUAUGACUCAAAAUCCUCUGGGGCCCUUUUGGAGCCUGAAAACACUGAAAAGUCCUGGAGCAUGAAAGUGCUAGCAAAAAGCACUAAUCAUCUAUUAACAUGGUUGCAGAAGGAUCAAGCCUAUAUAAGGAAAGUCCUGGUAUCACCUAGGGAAACUCCCCACCACCAUUCGAGAAGAUGGAUCUUACUUGCAAUGUGUUUAGAUUCUACUCAAUGGAUAAAAUAGAAGCCUAAUUAGAAACCUUGCAAAAAUUUUGCAUUCCAAAAACUUAAAUAUUAGUUUCCCAGUUGAUUUUACUACUAGUAAUAGAUUAUUGAAUUCUGUUCUAAUCAUUCUGUAAUUCUUUAUUUUUUUUUUCCUGUGGGAAAAUAAAAUAUUUGUUCUAUACCUGU